AACUGAAUGUCAACCACAUGGUAAAGAUUUUACACACACACAAACACACACACACACAUAUAUAUAUAUAUGUGUGUGUGUGUGUGUGUGUGUGUGUGUGUAUAUACAUGUGUAUAUAUAAUA
ensembl:miRNA Gm22196 predicted gene, 22196